rnacentral:rRNA from 1 species
UACGAACUGUGCGAACGUUAUUCGGAAUCACUGGGCUUACAGGGUGCGUAGGCGGCUUAGCAAGUCAGGUGUGAAAGCCCCCGGCUCAACCGGGGAACUGCGCUUGAAACUGCUGAGCUCGAGUCAGCUAGAGGUACACGGAACUUCCAGUGGAGCGGUGAAAUGUGUUGAUAUUGGAAGGAACACCGGAGGCGAAAGCGGUGUACUGGGGCUGGUCUGACGCUGAGGCACGAAAGCCAGGGGAGCGAACGGGAGUAGAAACCCUU